rnacentral:rRNA from 1 species
AUGAACGCUGGCGGCGUGCCUCAUACAUGCACGUCGAGCGAACAGACGAGGAGCUUGCUCCUCUGACGUUAGCGGCGGACGGGUGAGUAACACGUGGAUAACCUACCUAUAAGACUGGGAUAACUUCGGGAAACCGGAGCUAAUACCGGAUAAUAUAUUGAACCGCAUGGUUCAAUAGUGAAAGACGGUUUUGCUGUCACUUAUAGAUGGAUCCGCGCCGCAUUAGCUAGUUGGUAAGGUAACGGCUUACCAAGGCGACGAUGCGUAGCCGACCUGAGAGGGUGAUCGGCCACACUGGAACUGAGACACGGUCCAGACUCCUACGGGAGGCAGCAGUAGGGAAUCUUCCGCAAUGGGCGAAAGCCUGACGGAGCAACGCCGCGUGAGUGAUGAAGGUCUUCGGAUCGUAAAACUCCGUUAUUAGGGAAGAACAAAUGUGUAAGUAACUAUGCACGUCUUGACGGUACCUAAUCAGAAAGCCACGGCUAACUACGUG